GAUGAACGCUGGCGGCGUGCUUAACACAUGCAAGUCGAACGAAGCAGAUUGAGAUCUUCGGAAGGAUAUCUGACUGAGUGGCGGACGGGUGAGUAACGCGUGGGUAACCUGCCUCAUACAGGGGGAUAACAGUUAGAAAUGACUGCUAAUACCGCAUAAGCGCACAGUACCGCAUGGUACGGUGUGAAAAACUCCGGUGGUAUGAGAUGGACCCGCGUCUGAUUAGCUAGUUGGUGGGGUAACGGCCUACCAAGGCGACGAUCAGUAGCCGACCUGAGAGGGUGACAGGCCACAUUGGGACUGAGACACGGCCCAAACUCCUACGGGAGGCAGCAGUGGGGAAUAUUACACAAUGGGCGAAAGCCUGAUGCAGCGACGCCGCGUGAGUGAAGAAGUAUUUCGGUAUGUAAAGCUCUAUCAGCAGGGAAGAAAAUGACGGUACCUGACUAAGAAGCACCGGCUAACUACGUGCCAGCAGCCGCGGUAACAC
rnacentral:rRNA from 1 species